rnacentral:rRNA from 1 species
GACGAACGCUGGCGGCGUGCCUAAUACAUGCAAGUUGAGCGCUGAAGGUUGGUACUUGUACCAACUGGAUGAGCAGCGAACGGGUGAGUAACGCGUGGGGAAUCUGCCUUUGAGCGGGGGACAACAUUUGGAAACGAAUGCUAAUACCGCAUAAAAACUUUAAACACAAGUUUUAAGUUUGAAAGAUGCAAUUGCAUCACUCAAAGAUGAUCCCGCGUUGUAUUAGCUAGUUGGUGAGGUAAAGGCUCACCAAGGCGAUGAUACAUAGCCGACCUGAGAGGGUGAUCGGCCACAUUGGGACUGAGACACGGCCCAAACUCCUACGGGAGGCAGCAGUAGGGAAUCUUCGGCAAAGGACGAAAGUCUGACCGAGCAACGCCGCGUGAGUGAAGAAGGUUUUCGGAUCGUAAAACUCUGUUGGUAGAGAAGAACGUUGGUGAGAGUGGAAAGCUCAUCAAGUGACGGUAACUACCCAGAAAGGGACGGCUAACACGUG